GUGAACGCUGGCGGCGUGCCUAACACAUGCAAGUCGAACGAUGAUAGAGAGCUUGCUCUCUUGAUUAGUGGCGCACGGGUGAGUAUACCAUAGAUAAUGUACCUCUUCGUUCGGGAUAGCCACUGGAAACGGUGAUUAAUACCGGAUACUCCUUCUUACUCUAAGGUAAGUCGGGAACGUUUUUUCGCUAAGAGAUCAGUCUAUGUCCUAUCAGCUAGUUGGUGAGGUAAUGGCUCACCAAGGCUAUGACGGGUAUCUGGUUUGAGAGGAUGAUCAGACACACUGGAACUGAGACACGGUCCAGACUCCUACGGGAGGCAGCAGUGAGGAAUAUUGCACAAUGGAGGAAACUCUGAUGCAGCAACGCCGCGUGGGGGAUGACGCAUGUCGGUGUGUAAACUCCUUUUAAGAGGGAAGAUAAGGACGGUACCUCUUGAAGAAGCACCGGCUAACCCCGU
rnacentral:rRNA from 1 species